rnacentral:lncRNA from 1 species
GCAGGCUGUGGAAUUCUGCGCCACGUCAUUCAUCUCUCGCCACGGUGGGGAAACUGAGGGUAGAGACAGGGGUUUGAAUUCCUCAGGCCCCGGGAAGGGGUUUGGAGCCAUGGAGUUUGAAAGUAUUGUCCAAAGAAGUCCAGGAAGAAAGUGCUUACGUGUAAUUUACGACUCACUAAUGAAAAUGGCACAGAAGUGACACGCGACUCCAGAGCCAGCACCCGUCCAGCCAAAGCUUAAAACACGGAAGCCGGGUAGCGCUGGGCGGCUGCGUGUCAGAGAAUGAGUGUUUCCCGAUGGAACGGCGGGAUAGAAAUGGCCGCAGACUCUCCCUGCUUCCAACCAAUUUCGCUUUGCGGUGCUCACCUGUAAGCGACUGUCCAAAAGUCCACAGAUGCGCAGGGCUCUGGUUGGCUGCUGCUGUAAAUGUUCUCCGUAACCCAACCUGCUGGUCGAGAAGGAUCCUCGUUCGGCCACUUCUGAAUUGCAAGCUACAGCUCCUAAGAACCUGAGCCCAGGCUUUGGCAGGAAGCCUCCAGCAAUUUUUAAGGCACCUUAGUAAAGACGUCCCAGCAUUCAUCACAGCAAAAGUGCAGAAUUGCUCUGAGCAACAAAGUCAUGGGAACCCAGAAACUCAGAAAACCCUUUUCUGAUAAAUAAAUACUUGUGUAAAAGAUGUUUCUGCGGAGGAGCUGAUGUUCCCACACCAGCAGUAGAUACUCCCUUCUUAAACAGAAGAGAUGGAAACGCCUGCGUCUCAGCUCUUGGGGGCAGGGUGUGGGGAAAGCCCCACAGAGAGAGCUGGCUUUGGAGAAGAUGGCCUGGAGGUGAGGCCAUGGGCGGAGGAGGGCAGGCGUCUCAGGCUGUGGAUGCAAAAACAAUUCUGAGAACUGUAGCGAAAGGAAGAUUUCAUUUUAAAUGUGUUGAAAAAAUCACCAUUUGGCUAAGAUUCUGCACCAGGCCCCACCUUGCUCUGGCCCUAACGCGUAGCCCUCUGAGAUGGGCUUUGGCGUUGGAAAAGUCAUGGGCAGCCAUGAGCAGCCUACAGACACGCUCUGGUUUCCAUAGCUCUCCAACACUCCUCUGCAGGGUUUCUUCUGGGGCUGGGGGAGCGCAGCUGCUUUUCCGUCUAUGGUGCUGGCCGAGGCUGGGGCCGGGGCCUUGGCAGCUGUGGAUUUUGGCUGCCCCCGCGGUCCCGGAUCCGUGCUGCUGAUGUCUGCUUGGCCCGCUGGUUGCCUCUCUGUGGAAUCUGUCCCUGGCUGGGUCUUCUGUUGAGCCCCCCUGUGCCAGCCCUGACAGUGUCCCGGCGUCCACAGGCGGGCUCUGUGGUGCUUUGUAGCUACCUCUGUACUAAUUGGAAAAAACCAUUUGCCCCUACCUGGGCCUCUGGAUGGAUUUUUUUUAAAUGUAAGAAUUACUUAGCAGUUGGUAAAUCACUUCCCUCUCUUCAUUUCUAG